rnacentral:rRNA from 1 species
UACGGAGGGUGCAAGCGUUAAUCGGAAUUACUGGGCGUAAAGCGUGCGUAGGCGGUGAGUGAAGUCUGCUGUGAAAUCCCUGGGCUCAACCUGGGAAUGGCGGUGGAUACUGGCUUGCUAGAGUACGGUAGAGGAAGGUGGAACUCCCGGUGUAGCGGUGAAAUGCGCAGAGAUCGGGAGGAACAUCAGUGGCGAAGGCGACCUUCUGGACCAGUACUGACGCUGAGGCACGAAAGCGUGGGGGAGCAAACAGGAUUAGAUACCCUGGUAGUCCACGCCCUAAACGAUGCGAACUGGAGGUUGGGUGCAACUUGGCACGCAGUCUCGAAGCUAACGCGUUAAGUUCGCCGCCUGGGGAUACGGUCGCAAGACUGAAACUCA